GCUGGUGCAUUAUUUUGGGUUACUUCGUCCUUGGAUGCUUCAUAUGCAGAAUAUACAACAGCAUUGCAAGAAAGAGAAGGGUGUGGACUAUUCGGAAGUGUAGGUUGAAUGUGACGAGUCCUUUCACCACUUUCAAUGGAUUCUGCUUUGGCUGAGCCAACAAUUUUUGAGCCACUAUCAGCCCUUCCCACAGAACGAGAUGU
rnacentral:lncRNA from 1 species